rfam:Aeribacillus pallidus strain 8m3 NODE_3, whole genome shotgun sequence.
ACGUUCGGGUAAUCGCUGCAACGGAUCAUCCGUUGUAGAGGAAAGUCCAUGCUCGCACGGUGCUGAGAUGCCCGUAGUGUUCGUGCCUAGCGAAACCAUAAGCUAGGGCAGCCUUUUCGGCUGACGGCGGGGAACGUGCCUAAGCUAUUGAUUAGUAUGGCACUAUUACCCUGAAAGUGCCACAGUGACGUAGUCUUGCGAGAAAUCGCAAGAGUGGAACGCGGUAAACCCCACGAGCGAGAAACCCAAAUGAUGGUAGGGGCACCUUCUCUGAGGAAAUGAACGAGGAGAAGGACAGAAGGGCUAAAACCCUUCUGUAGAUAGAUGAUUACCACCCAUGUACAAGCUGCAUGGGGACAAAACAUGGCUUACAGAA